rnacentral:rRNA from 1 species
UACGUAGGGGGCAAGCGUUAUCCGGAUUUACUGGGUGUAAAGGGAGCGUAGACGGCAGGGCAAGUCUGGAGUGAAAGGCGGGGGCUCAACCCCCGGACUGCUCUGGAAACUGCCAGGCUGGAGUGCAGGAGAGGUAAGUGGAAUUCCUAGUGUAGCGGUGAAAUGCGUAGAUAUCAGGAGGAACACCAGUGGCGAAGGCGGCUUACUGGACUGUAACUGACGUUGAGGCUCGAAAGCGUGGGGAGCAAACAGG